UACGUAGGGUGCGAGCGUUGUCCGGAAUUAUUGGGCGUAAAGGGCUCGUAGGCGGUCUGUCACGUCGGGAGUGAAAACUCAGGGCUUAACCCUGAGCCUGCUUCCGAUACGGGCAGACUAGAGGUAUGCAGGGGAGAAUGGAAUUCCUGGUGUAGCGGUGAAAUGCGCAGAUAUCAGGAGGAACACCGGUGGCGAAGGCGGGUCUCUGGGCCGAUACUGACGCUGAGGAGCGAAAGCGUGGGGAGCAAACAGG
rnacentral:rRNA from 1 species